UUACAUGGAUAACCGUGGUAAUUCUAGAGCUAAUACAUGCGCAACACCCGACUUCUUGGAAGGGUAGUAUUUAUUAGAUAUCAGCCAAUAACCUUCGGGUAUUGUGGUGAAUCAUAGUAACUUAGCGGAUCUCAUAGGCAUUUGCCUGAGACAAACCAUUCAAGUUUCUGCCCCAUCAUGCUUUCGAUGGUAGUGUAUUGGACUACCAUGGCUUUUACGGGUGACGGAGGAUUAGGGUUCGAUUCCGGAGAGGGAGCCUGAGAAACGGCUACCACAUCUAAGGAAGGCAGCAGGCGCGUAAAUUACCCAAUCCUGACUCAGGGAGGUAGUGACAAGAAAUAGCGGGUCGGCAAUUUUGCCGAGACUGAAAUGAGACGAAUUUACACCCCUUAUCGAGGACCAAUUGGAGGGCAAGUCUGGUGCCAGCAGCCGCGGUAAUUCCAGCUCCAAUAGCGUAUAUUAAAGUUGUUGCAGUUAAAAAGCUCGUAGUUGGAUUUCUGGUCGGGGUCAACGGUGCGCACUCGCGCGCCUGCGUCCUCUGCCAUCCUUCUGUUAAGCCCGUAUAGCAUUCAUUUGUUGACGGGUGGCUCAGAUAUUUUACCUUGAGAAAAUUAGAGUGUUUCAGGCAGGCUAGCGCCGGGAUACAUUAGCAUGGAAUAAUGGAACAGGACUUUAACCUCUUCUGUUGGUCUGAGGGGUUAGAGUAAUGAUUAAUAGGGAUAGUUGGGGGCAUUAGUACUUAACUGUCAGAGGUGAAAUUCUCGGAUUUGUUAAAGACUAACUUAUGCGAAAGCGUUUGCCAAGGAUGUUUUCAUUAAUCAAGAACGAAAGUUAGGGGAUCAAAGACGAUCAGAUACCGUCCUAGUCUUAACUAUAAACUAUACCGACUCGGAUUCAGAUGAAUAUUAAAGUUCAUUUGGGACCGUAGGAGAAAUCAAAGUCUUUGGGUUCUGGGGGGAGUAUGGUCGCAAGGCUGAAACUUAAAGGAAUUGACGGUUUUGCACCACCAUGGAGUGGAGCCUGCGGCUUAAUUUGACUCAACACUGGGAAACUCAUCAGGGCAAGAAGAUUUUAGGAUUGACAGAUUGAGAGUUCUUUCUUGAUUGGUCUAGUGGUGGUGCAUGGCCGUUCUUAGUUGGUGGAGUGAUUUGUCUGGUUAAUUCCGUUAACGAACGAGACCUUAACCUGCUAACUAGUACUGCGUUCUUAAUCGUUGUUACUUCUUAGAGGGACUAUGUGAUGUAAUCACAUGGAAGUUUGAGGCAAUAACAGGUCUGUGAUGCCCUUAGAUGUCCUGAGCUGCACGCGCGCUACAAUGACACAUUCAGCAAGUACCUCCUGAUCCGAAAGGAUUUGGGUAAUCUUUUUAGUGUGUGUCGUGAUAGGGAUAGAUCUUUGUAAUUAUGGAUCUUGAACGAGGAAUUCCUAGUAAGCACAAGUCAUCAGCUUGUGCUGAUUACGUCCCUGCAAAAUGUACACACCGCCCGUCGCUCCUACCGAUUCGAGUGGUUCGGCGAAUUCUCCGGAUCGGACUAUGUC
rnacentral:rRNA from 1 species